UGUCCAGACUCCUACGGGAGGCAGCAGUGGGGGAUAUUGCACAAUGGGGGGAACCCUGAUGCAGCGACGCCGCGUGGGUGAAGAAGCGCCUCGGCGCGUAAAGCCCUGUCAGCAGGGAAGAAAAUGACGGUACCUGACUAAGAAGCCCCGGCUAACUACGUGCCAGCAGCCGCGGUAAUACGUAGGGGGCAAGCGUUAUCCGGAUUUACUGGGUGUAAAGGGAGCGUAGACGGCUGUGCAAGUCUGAAGUGAAAGCCCAGGGCUCAACCGCGGAAUGGCUUUGGAAACUUUUUUGCUGGAGUACCGGAGAGGUAAGCGGAAUUCCUAGUGUAGCGGUGAAAUGCGUAGAUAUUAGGAGGAACACCAGUGGCGAAGGCGGCUUACUGGACGGUAACUGACGUUGAGGCUCGAAAGCGUGGGGAGCAAACAGGAUUAGAUACCCCUGUA
rnacentral:rRNA from 1 species